GAUGAACGCUGGCUACAGGCUUAACACAUGCAAGUCGAGGGGAAACGACGGGGAAGCUUGCUUCCCCGGGCGUCGACCGGCGCACGGGUGAGUAACGCGUAUCCAACCUGCCUCUGACUGAGGGAUAACCCGUCGAAAGUCGGCCUAAUACCUCAUGGUAUCGUCUGCGGGCAUCCAACGACGAUUAAAUAUUUCAUCGGUCAGGGAUGGGGAUGCGUCUGCUUAGCUUGUUGGCGGGGUAACGGCCCACCAAGGCUACGAUCAGUAGGGGUUCUGAGAGGAAGGUCCCCCACAUUGGAACUGAGACACGGUCCAAACUCCUACGGGAGGCAGCAGUGAGGAAUAUUGGUCAAUGGGGGAGAGCCUGAACCAGCCAAGUAGCGUGCAGGAAGACGGCCCUAUGGGUUGUAAACUGCUUUUAUGCGGGGAUAAAGUGAGGGACGUGUCCCUCAUUGCAGGUACCGAAUGAAUAAGGACCGGCUAAUUCCGUG
rnacentral:rRNA from 1 species